rnacentral:rRNA from 1 species
GAUGAACGCUGGCGGCGUGCCUAAUACAUGCAAGUCGAGCGAACGGACGAGAAGCUUGCUUCUCUGAUGUUAGCGGCGGACGGGUGAGUAACACGUGGAUAACCUACCUAUAAGACUGGGAUAACUUCGGGAAACCGGAGCUAAUACCGGAUAAUAUUUUGAACCGCAUGGUUCAAAAGUGAAAGACGGUUUUGCUGUCACUUAUAGAUGGAUCCGCGCUGCAUUAGCUAGUUGGUAAGGUAACGGCUUACCAAGGCGACGAUGCGUAGCCGACCUGAGAGGGUGAUCGGCCACACUGGAACUGAGACACGGUCCAGACUCCUACGGGAGGCAGCAGUAGGGAAUCUUCCGCAAUGGGCGAAAGCCUGACGGAGCAACGCCGCGUGAGUGAUGAAGGUCUUCGGAUCGUAAAACUCUGUUAUUAGGGAAGAACAUAUGUGUAAGUAACUAUGCACAUCUUGACGGUACCUAAUCAGAAAGCCACGGCUAACUACGUG